UUUGGUUUCAACAACUGUUGUGAUACUUUCAGCAGAACACUCAACUGCUCAGUGUGUUCUCAACAAAAAACAAACCCCCCAAACAAACGCUUGAAUUAUUUUUCAUGGGACUAACACAAUGGACUGGAUAAUUCAUGCUACACUGUUCUCAUCAGUGUUAAAUGCUGCACUUUGUUUCAAUAUUGAUCCCGUGGCAUGGAAGGCCCUGAAUAACUCUGCUGCUGGUUUUGGAUACCAGGUGGUUCAAAGACAAUCAGAUUUGCUCGUCAGUGCUCCCCUUGAACAGUAUUCACAAAAUGGAAGAGGAAAAGUAUAUAGCUGCACCACAUCUUCCCCAAACUGCCAAAAUAUCCAAA